rnacentral:rRNA from 1 species
CGUGUAGGCGGCCAGGUAAGUCAGAUGUGAAAACCCUUGGCUUAACCAAGGAAGGGCAUUUGAAACUGUCUGGCUUGAGUACGGGAGGGGGAAGUGGAAUUCCCGGUGUAGAGGUGAAAUUCGUAGAUAUCGGGAGGAACACCGGUGGCGAAGGCGGCUUCCUGGACCGAUACUGACGCUGAGACGCGAAAGCGUGGGGAGCAAACAGGAUUAGAUACCCUGGUAGUCCACGCCGUAAACUUUGGGCACUUGGUGUUGCGGGUAUUGACCCCUGCAGUGCCGAAGCUAACGCAUUAAGUGCCCCGCCUGGGGAGUACGGUCGCAAGGCUAAA